rnacentral:lncRNA from 1 species
UGCGACUCGUGUGAGACUAUGUCAUAUGGUGUGAGACAUAUGCUACCGUAGUUUUAUCAUAUGUGUUUAAUUUUGCGAGAUUCUUAUAUUGUGCCCUAAUGAUCAUGCUCACUUCACUUCUUGAAGUUAUAUUACUCUCAGUGGUUACAUUUGUGCAAGUAGUGUGUGUCUAUAAAAUAUAGGGGGGUGUUGAUCCUAGUGUGUGCACUUUGCAUUCCAAAAGCAUACUUAAAUAGUACACACACUUAGGGGAGUCUGCCUAUAUUUUGUAGAGAGUGGGGUUGCAUUGUAUAUCAUUUUAUCCUGUAUGCAAAUCCAGUGUUGUCAUCAAUCCACAAAAAAGGGGGAGAUUGUUAGGGCAUAUUUCUACCCAAGUACUUUUGGUGAUUGAUGACAAUACAUUUGCGGACUAAUCGUGUGCGAUAAGCCUUUCAGGUACUUCCUCGGUUUGCAUAAAAAUAAUUCCUGACCCUCGGUGUAUUGAUGUGAAGACAGUUUUCUCUCUUACGUUUCGUUGUUGGUGGAGUUGAGUCAUUGGAAAAGUCGUACUAUUAAGAGGGGAUCGACUUUGGAAAAGUCUGGGUGGAAUCAUCACGCACA